ensembl:lncRNA novel transcript
GGUGGAGUUUGGUUCGCGGCUGUUUUGCCACCUUUUUCUCCUUCUGGGCUGUCAGAUUUCUAAAAAGACCUGGAGGGAGAAAGCCUGAAGAACUUGUUAGUCCACAGCUGCCUCUCUGUCGAGGACGGCAUUUGGAACUGUAAUGAAUGCUGAAACCUUAUUGUGUUUAAAUGAGGUAAGAUAUGUUAACUAACAUCAGCAAUAACUAUCUUUGA